rnacentral:rRNA from 1 species
GAUGAACGCUAGCGGCAGGCUUAACACAUGCAAGUCGAGGGGUAUAGUAGCAAUACUAGAGACCGGCGCACGGGUGCGUAACGCGUAUGCAACCUACCUUUUACAGAGGGAUAGCCCCAGAGAAAUUUGGAUUAAUACCUCAUAGUGUUAUUAGAUGGCAUCAUUUGAUAACUAAAGUUCCAACGGUAAAGAUGGGCAUGCGUCCUAUUAGCUAGAUGGUAAGGUAACGGCUUACCAUGGCUACGAUAGGUAGGGGUCCUGAGAGGGAGAUCCCCCACACUGGUACUGAGACACGGACCAGACUCCUACGGGAGGCAGCAGUGAGGAAUAUUGGACAAUGGGCGCAAGCCUGAUCCAGCCAUGCCGCGUGCAGGAAGAAGCAUCUAUGGUGUGUAAACUGCUUUUGUACGGGAAGAAACACUCCUACGUGUAGGAGCUUGACGGUACCGUAAGAAUAAGGAUCGGCUAACUCCGUGCCAGCAGCCGACGG